UACGUAGGGUGCAGGCGUUAAUCGGAAUUACUGGGCGUAAAGCGUGCGCAGGCGGUUUGCUAAGACAGGUGUGAAAUCCCCCGGCUUAACCGGGGAACUGCGUCUGAUACUGGAUGGCUUGAGUUCGGGAGAGGGAUGCGGAAUUCCAGGUGUAGCGGUGAAAUGCGUAGAUAUCUGGAGGAACACCGGUGGCGAAGGCGGCAUCCUGGACCGAUACUGACGCUGAGGAGCGAAAGCCAGGGGAGCAAACGGG
rnacentral:rRNA from 1 species